rnacentral:rRNA from 1 species
GUGUGUGAAGAAGGCUUCGGGUUGUAAAGCACUUUCGAUGGGGAAAAACAAGUUCGACCUAAUACGUCGGACCCUGAUGGUACCCAGAGAAGAAGCACCGGCUAACUCUGUGCCAGCAGCCGCGGUAAUACAGAGGGUGCAAGCGUUAAUCGGAAUUACUGGGCGUAAAGCGUGCGUAGGUGGUUUGUUAAGUCAGGUGUGAAAUCCCUGGGCUCAACCUGGGAACUGCGCUUGAUACUGGCAGACUGGAGUGUGGUAGAGGGUAGUGGAAUUCCGCAUGUAGCAGUGAAAUGCGUAGAUAUGCGGAGGAACACCAGUGGCGAAGCGGCUACCUGGACCAACACUGACACUGAGGCACGAAAGCGUGGGGAGCAAACAGGAUUAGAUACCCUGGUAGUCCACGCCCUAACGAUGGGUACUAACGUCGGGAGGUUU